GGGACCCUCGCAGCUUUGCCAGUGUCCAAUCCUGGGCGAGCGCAGGUAGUUAUCUAGCCAAUCAGGAGAACGGAGGGCUCCAUCGCAGGACAGAGUGCAGAACAGCCAAUCAAAAGUUCAUACUUACAGGUUCCCAAGGUUAAGAGAAGCCAGAAGAUCUCUGUGAAUUCGAGACCACUGUGGGCUGCCUCAAAAAACAAACAAACAAAAAACCAGAGGGGGUCUCCAGUGCUCUCCUACAGUUGAACCCACUUUGCCUGCCUCGUCUCUGCUGCAUUACAAGACACGGAUUGCAAACUGUGCGACCAGACCCACAUCAUUUUCAAAUAAGGUUAGAGUCAAGCCAUGCCAGGGCUCCAGCGCGGGCACGCCAGGGCUCCAGCGCGGGCACAACAGAAUUGCUGGGCUUUAGGGACAACUGUGACGCUAACACUCUUACCGGAACACUGCCUUAAAGAUCUGCUGGCUGAAGUGCUUAUCAAAGAAAUUCAUGUCUGAAGCUUGCUCUAUGUACCUCGGAGAGGAAACAGAAAGCGAACAUGGAAGAAUGUUGAUGCCAACUAAAGGUGUUGGUUUUGCAGAGUACUUUGUUGGUUUUUGAACAAUACGCUGGUGCAGUGCUAGGGAUUGAAUUCAGGGUUCUGUGAAUGCUGGCCAGGUGCUCUGCCACACACCCCCCUUCAGAUGCAGAGCCAAGCAGAUCUCCCUGAGUUCAAGAUCAACCUGGUCUACAUAGCAAGGACUAGAACAUUCAGGGCUACAUAGAUCCUGUCUCAAAAAAAGAAAGGAAGGAAAGGAGGGAGGGAGGGAGGGAGGGAGGGAGGGAGGGAGGAAGGAAGGAAGGAAGGAAGGAAGGAAGGAAGGAAGGAAGGAAGGAAGGAAGGAAGGAAGGAAGGAAAAAAUAAAAUUCUGGCUACAGAGACCCUAAGUUCCCUGCGUGUAUGUGCAUAUGUUGUACAGAUGAGGCCAAAGGUCAAUACCGAAUGUCUUCCUUUAUCAUCAGUCUUGACUUGUUUUAAUGCAGGAUUGCUCACUGAACCCAGAUUUGUGAUUCAGCUAAACUGGCUAGUCUUCAAGGCCCUAAGGAUCCUCCCGUCUCUACCCCCGUUACGAUUUUGCUGCCACGGUGCCUGCCUUUUCCGGGUGCUGGGGACUCAAUGCCCACAGCUAGCACUUGACCUGCUUGAGGCAUCUAGUCCACGCCCAGUCCCCAGCCCUGGCUGGCCUGAACUUACUGUGUAGACCAGGCCGGCCUCACACCCAUAGAGAUCCUCCUGCGUCUGCCUGAGUGCUAGGAUUAAAAGCAUGAGCGAUCAUCACCUAUUGGCGGGUUUUGUCAACUUUACACAAGCUGGAGUCAUCAGAGAGGAGGGAGCUCAACUGAGAAAACGCCUCCAUACAGGGCUGUAGGUGAGCUGUUAGGGCAUUUUCUUAGUGAUUGAUGGGCUUGAAGGGCCCAGCCCAUUGUUGGUGGGGCCAUCCCCGGGCUGGUAGUUCUUGGUUCCAUACAAAGGCAGGCUGAGCAAGCCGGUAAGGAACAUCUAGAGUAUCCACCAAUGGCCCCUGCAUCAGCUCUUGCCUCCAGGUUCCCGCCCUCACUGCUUUUGGUCAUGGUGCUUCCUCACAGCUACAGUCACCCUCAGACAGAUGCCCAUGAAGACAUGUGAAGAUCUGAUGGGCUGUGGUCACCUGGGCCACCUCAACCCCUGUCUGGGUGCAAUGCAGAAGUGCAGGCCACCUAUCUCACAUCUGUACC